UGCAAUACACACAAGUGCAUAUAGAUUUUACCACAAGUGACUAGUUAAAUAUAAUAACAAAUAGUCCAGAAUAUGAAGUGCUCAUACAUUACUACGAACCACUAGUAGGAAAUAUAAUAACAAGUAGUCCAACAUAUGAGGUCCAAAAUACAUACUGGCUCUAGCGUGCAACUUUCCUAUCGACCUAUCAAUCCAUUAGCAAUCCUUUCACGAAGCACAUCCAUGUUGGCAUUAUGGACUCCUUGAUGAAGACCAGGAAGGUCCACUGAUGGUGUAGGUUCUAUGUUCCCCGGCAUAUAGUUCUCAUCUUGGUCACAUUUGUAGAACUCGUCAUCAUGUAGAGCACUCUCUCUAAUCCAGUUAUGAAGCGCCAUGCAUGCAACUAUUAUACGUGUUUGCUUCUCAAUUGC
rnacentral:lncRNA from 1 species